rnacentral:rRNA from 1 species
GACGAACGCUGGCGGCGUGCUUAACACAUGCAAGUCGAGCGGUAAGGCCCUUUCGGGGGUACGACGAGCGGCGAACGGGUGAGUAACACGUGGGUGACCUGCCCUCAGCUCUGGGAUAAGCCUGGGAAACCGGGUCUAAUACCGGAUAUGACUCCAUGACGCAUGUUGUGGGGUGGAAAGCCUUGUGCGGCUGAGGAUGGGCCCGCGGCCUAUCAGCUCGUUGGUGGGGUGAUGGCCUACCAAGGCGACGACGGGUAGCCGGCCUGAGAGGGCGACCGGCCACACUGGGACUGAGACACGGCCCAGACUCCUACGGGAGGCAGCAGUGGGGAAUCUUGCGCAAUGGGCGAAAGCCUGACGCAGCGACGCCGCGUGAGGG